GUACAUGUAGCGCAGUGGAUAGCGCGUUGGCCUUCUAUUCCAAAGGUCGUGGGUUCAAAUCCCACCUGGUAUG